rnacentral:rRNA from 1 species
UAGGGAAUCUUCCACAAUGGACGAAAGUCUGAUGGAGCAACGCCGCGUGAGCGAAGAAGGCCUUCGGGUCGUAAAGCUCUGUUGUUAGGGAAGAACAAGUACCGGAGUGACUGCCGGUACCUUGACGGUACCUAACCAGAAAGCCACGGCUAACUACGUGCCAGCAGCCGCGGUAAUACGUAGGUGGCAAGCGUUGUCCGGAAUUAUUGGGCGUAAAGCGCGCGCAGGCGGUCCUUUAAGUCUGAUGUGAAAGCCCACGGCUCAACCGUGGAGGGUCAUUGGAAACUGGGGGACUUGAGUGCAGAAGAGGAAAGCGGAAUUCCACGUGUAGCGGUGAAAUGCGUAGAGAUGUGGAGGAACACCAGUGGCGAAGGCGGCUUUCUGGUCUGUAACUGACGCUGAGGCGCGAAAGCGUGGGGAGCAAACAGGAUUAGAUACCCUGGUAGUCCACGCCGUAAACGAUGAGUGCUAAGUGUUAGAGGGUUUCCGCCCUUUAGUGCUGCAGCUAACGCAUUAAGCACUCCGCCUGGGGAGUACGGCCGCAAGGCUG